AAGGUCGUAACAAGGUUUUCCGUAGGUGAACCUGCGGAAGGAUCAUCAUCGAGAGAGGGGUCUUCGCGCUCCCGGGGGUUUUCGGCCCCUAACUCUUCACCCGUUGUCAACUUACCCUUGUUGCUUUGGCGGAUUCCGGGGUAUGUCUUGCGUAGGUUUGUCAUAAACCCGGUGCGAGAUGUGCCCCGGCGCCCGCCGGAGGCCCAAUUAAAAUUCUGUUUAUCAGUGAUGUCCGAGUAAAAAAGCCAAUAAUAAAAC
rnacentral:misc_RNA from 1 species